CCAGGAUCCAGCUUCCAGUGGGUAGACCUCUCCUCCAAGAGAGUGUAGCAAUAUGCUCUUAAAAGAGCAAGUGAUUAUAAUCCCAAUGGAGUAUAGUGAUAUAGCAAUCUCCAGAGUAAUACAGCCGUUCCCCCCCACACAUGAGAGAAGCAGAAAUUUGUUUAUUGGUAACCACAACUGGCCUUAUAUGCGGGUACUCGUGCAAGGCGCACUCCCCCCUGGACCUGAGAGUAGACUACAGUAAAAACACACACACGAUUACAUUGGCUCUCAGAUCCAGGACACUCCCACACAAAACAACAUAAUCCCUCACCUGUGCCUGAGAGAUAAUUGAGUCAGGAACUGUACUAAACUCAAUUAACUCCGGGCACAGAAAACACACAUUUUAACAAUCGAAAGUACCCCUAAACUGCAUGGAAACCCCACAAAAAAACCCUCACAUCCCC